UACGUAGGGUGCAAGCGUUAAUCGGAAUUACUGGGCGUAAAGCGUGCGCAGGCGGUUAUUCAAGUCAGAUGUGAAAUCCCCGGGCUCAACCUGGGAACUGCAUUUGUGACUGGAUAGCUAGAGUACGGUAGAGGGGGAUGGAAUUCCGCGUGUAGCAGUGAAAUGCGUAGAUAUGCGGAGGAACACCGAUGGCGAAGGCAAUCCCCUGGACCUGUACUGACGCUCAUGCACGAAAGCGUGGGGAGCAAACAGG
rnacentral:rRNA from 1 species